AUUGCUGUAGGUCUUCUGGCAGCAUCCUGCUCUAUUUCCUGGCUCUUCACUAGAUUAAAUUAACUUUCCUCACAGUUCAGCCCUUAACCCUUCUUUGGGCUAGCAAUCUGGAGAGACAGAUCAAAAGAUUACAGAAUUUUUGGCACUCAAGGGUCCCCCUGACCCCAACAAAGUGCAGAAAUCUUCAAAAUGGCAGAACAGACCUAUGGAUGGUCCAAUUUCAACUUGAAUCUACCAAGGAUAGGUCCCCUGUUUUAGCCCCAGAUGGUUCUUUUGCUGAGUAGCUCCAGAGAACUCCCCUUAACAUUGAGCAGAGUGGACCAGAGAAAAGUGGUUUUGGAGACAAACAGAUCUGUGAGUUCUGUGUGUGUCUCAGCUUCUGCCAGAGAUUGGAGCAGCAGUGAGAAAGUGGAGGUGAUGGCCUCGAUGGGAUAACUGGAUCUUUCUGGCGGGAGUGGUGUCUGCAUUUCCUGGAGUAGUCCCUGUAGAGUUUCUAGCAUCUGGUUCCCAAGCACCACAGAAGCUAAGUGGAUCCCCAGUAUGGGAUUCUCCACUGGAGUCUCAGCUAUGGUUAAGCAUCUUUCCUGCCUACAUUGUUCCUGGGCAUGUAGAAUCUAAGUCUGAUUUCGUGACUCUUCCAGAGAUGCUGUG
rnacentral:lncRNA from 10 species